rnacentral:tRNA from 1 species
GCCUGCUUAGCUCAAUGGUAGAAGCACUGCGUGCGCACAGAAAAUAAAGCAGAGGUGUCUCGGUUCGAUUCCGAGAGUGGGCA